rnacentral:rRNA from 1 species
ACACGACUACAUUAGAUACCCCCGUAGUCCUAGCCGUAAACGAUACUCGCUAGGUGUCGGCCACGGUGCGACCGUUGUCGGUGCCGUAGGGAAGCCGUGAAGCGAGCCACCUGGGAAGUACGGCCGCAAGGCUGAGACUUAAAGGAAUUGGCGGGGGAGCACAACAACGGGUGGAGCUUGCGGUUUAAUUGGAUUCAACGCCGGAAAUCUUACCGGGACCGACAGCAACAUGAAGGCCAAGCUGAAGACUUUGCCGGAUUAGCUG